rnacentral:ncRNA from 1 species
UAUUGAUAAUAGCACACUUAUUGAAAAAUAAGGUCGCAAAGCUAUGGGUCUAAAGAAAAGUUAUUUUUCUAUGAUUGCCAGGUUGCCAAA